GACAGGAUUUGUUCACAGCUGCCCAAAGUGCUUCUCCUUUUCCAGCCUCCUCCUGGAGUUGCUGUGGGACAUAAAACACAUUUCUUUUAUAUUCCUUCUUACUCUAAACUAAAGCUCAGAGACUGAAAAGCACUGACGGCUUGACAUCUCUUUGUACGCACACAGUUGGAUAUAAAGGUUCACCAACAAGGCUUACCAGGAGGAAGUCCACGUAUCCCUCUGCCUGCUUCAGCAAGAAGAGAGGAGCUUGUUGAUGCUGAAAGGCACAGCGCACCCUGGUGGUGUGCAGAGUCACAUCCCUCAGAUCUCUGUGGAAACAACUCCACUUUUCCACAACCUGUUGAAGCGCAGGUCUCAGAGCUUUCAUCUAGAAAGGCCGCCAGAAACAAGACCAUUUAUAAAGAUAAUUUAUACUGUAGCUCAGUUCAUCUGACAUUUGGAAUGAUUUUUUGAGUACUCCAUGCAUUCUGUGCAGUUAUUGAGCAACUUGUAAGACAUAUGACUGCACUAAGCACCAUGUUUGGCAUAUGGUGCUGAUCAGGGUGAGUUUAUCAGAGCUUUGUUUGCUACGUCUGGAAAAAGGGACAGAAAAAAGAAUAAACCAAG